GGCAUCCUUGAUGGAAUCCCAGAUGCCCCCACAUACACAGAAUCUUCAGCAGAACUCCCUAGAUAAAAGCUACUUUGAGGAAUCAGGUAAAUGUCUGCAGCGAUGGUCAAACAGGGAAUGAUGAAAGCAGCAUUGUGCCAUCAAUAUUCAAGCUCUGAUCCUUUUGUACAGGUAUCAACGUGGUGGACACACAAAUGAAAAAGCUGCGGAAAUAUGUAGCGGUCAGCCUUGUAAGGUCCAGACAAAAAACACAUCCAGGAGUCCUAGCUUCAUCUUUAUGUUAAAGAAAUAUUGUACAGAAUAUGGGAAGAAGGAGAUGAAAAAUAGGGACACUGUAAAGCUGCAGAAGAUAAAUCAUCUCUCUAGUCAUCGGUUUAUACAAGGCAGAUGUCCAUAUGAUGUUGUCAGGGUUUCAAGGUUAUUGUCCUAAUACUCUUAAUAAAGUCCUAUUCCACAAUA